CGAUCCGUCGUGGUAAGGGUGAAAGGGUGGGGUAAGAGCCCACCGCGCGACUGGCAACAGGAGCGGCACGGUAAACCCCACCGGGAGCAAGACCGAAUAGGGGCGGUGCGAGGGGAAACCCUCGAGGGCUGUUUCCGGCUCACCGCCCGGGUAGGUUGCGUGAGGCGCAUGGCAACAUGCGCCCAAGAUGAAUGGCCGCCACGUUCU
rnacentral:RNase_P_RNA from 1 species